rnacentral:rRNA from 1 species
GACGAACGCUGGCGGCGUGCUUAACACAUGCAAGUCGAACGGAAAGGCCCUGCUCUUGUGGGGUGCUCGAGUGGCGAACGGGUGAGUAACACGUGAGUAACCUGCCCUUGACUUUGGGAUAACUUCAGGAAACUGGGGCUAAUACCGGAUAGGAGCUCCUGCUGCAUGGUGGGGGUUGGAAAGUUUCGGCGGUGGGGGAUGGACUCGCGGCUUAUCAGCUUGUUGGUGGGGUAGUGGCUUACCAAGGCUUUGACGGGUAGCCGGCCUGAGAGGGUUACCGGCCACAUGGGGACUGAGAUACGGCCCAGACGCCUACGGGAGGCAGCAGUGGGGAAUAUUGCACAAUAGGCGGAAGCCUGAUGCAGCAACGCCGCGUGCGGGAUGACGGCCUUCGGGUUGUAAACCGCUUUCGCCUGUGACGAAGCGUGAGUGACGGUAAUGGGUAAAGAAGCACCGGCUAACUACGUG